rnacentral:lncRNA from 9 species
AUGACGCUCUUAGCCUUAAACGGACCCACGUUCUCAGCCCACCAGGAAGCACUUGAUUUGUUUACCAGCCCCCAGGACAGGAGGAAGCCACCGACUAAAGGGCUGUCAUACAGCCAGGGUCCUCUGCAAACGAAAGGAGAUAACGAAUGUGAAGCCUUUAAAACACUCAGCCGAGGCGAAGGCCACAUGAAAGAUAUGCACGUGCCAAGUGUUCAGGGAACUGCAAGCAACUUCACAAGCCUGGAUCUGGCCACACACGUGUCAGCCAAGGCCUCUUACCUUCGACCAGCUGCCGAGACCGAUGUGUUUUCUUUUCCGAGCCUCUCAGAUCCGCUCCACGCAGCCCGGGGGGUGUGGGCCGCGGGGAGGACAGUGGUAAAUAUCACGUCAACUCCGGAGGCACAGCCAAGGUUGAUGACUGAGUGUCGGGAUGACCGAUCAAGAGUCAGGUGAGUGGGGUGGGGGCUGGUAAGAAGGUCGGGGAGGCGGCAGGGCGAGGGCGGGGGUCAGAUUCAAGAACUAACGCAAAAGACACGAGCAGGAACCAGAGACCCAAGGAGGACAUAGAGCAGCGAAUUGAAUCCUGGAAACAGGUUUCCGCCGCUGGCUGCUUUUAGAAGAAUGAGGAGACCCCCCUCAGCAGCCUUUGGGGGCGAUGUCCUGUCUUUAAGACUCCCCACUCCCCGUGGAAACUCUCAUGUCCCCGGCCGGUCACACCAGUCUCUGAAGCUGAGCCUUAAGUGAAAAUGAUCGGCUUCCCAGGUGACUUUGGAGAAGCCAGAGUCAGCGGCUCCUUGAGUGUCUCCCCUGCACCUCCCUCCUCCACACCGCUGUUUCCAGACACCCCUUCCCAGGCGAUGCUGUAGAACCCUCACUGGCUCUCCCUUUAUUUCUGAGUUUGAUGGGUACCACUCGAGACAGAGGGUGUCCUGGCCCAGCCCCCCUGCAGCCUCGCACCUGUGACCGGCCUGCCUUCCUCUCGCUGCCCGCCUUGCUGUUUCUCCUGUGAUAUCCUUGGGCAUGACUGGGGGGAGCCCAGUGGACCCCUGAAAUGCAGAGGCCCCAGGGAGGAUGGGCCCAGGUGAGGCCCAGGUGUGGGAAGGACUGAUCUGGCAGGAAGAACUCAGUGUGUGCGGCCAUGUGAGCCAACACAGUGGAGCCCAGAGCAGGGUUGGAGGGGUCCUGGGGCGGGGUGUGUGCAUGAG